rnacentral:rRNA from 1 species
AUGAACGCUGGCGGCGUGCCUCAUCCAUGCAAGUCGCGCGAACGGACGAGAAGCUUGCUUCUCUGAUGUUAGCGGCGGACGGGUGAGUAACACGUGGAUAACCUACCUAUAAGACUGGGAUAACUUCGGGAAACCGGAGCUAAUACCGGAUAAUAUUUUGAACCGCAUGGUUCAAAAGUGAAAGACGGUCUUGCUGUCACUUAUAGAUGGAUCCGCGCUGCAUUAGCUAGUUGGUAAGGUAACGGCUUACCAAGGCAACGAUGCAUAGCCGACCUGAGAGGGUGAUCGGCCACACUGGAACUGAGACACGGUCCAGACUCCGACGGGAGGCAGCAGUAGGGAAUCUUCCGCAAUGGGCGAAAGCCUGACGGAGCAACGCCGCGUGAGUGAUGAAGGUCUUCGGAUCGUAAAACUCUGUUAUUAGGGAAGAACAUAUGUGUAAGUAACUGUGCACAUCUUGACGGUACCUAAUCAGAAAGCCACGGCUAACUACGUG